rnacentral:rRNA from 1 species
UACGUAGGGUGCAAGCGUUGCUCGGAAUCAUUGGGCGUAAAGAGCGUGUAGGUGGCUAGAUAAGUCGGAUGUGAAAUCCCUCGGCUCAACCGAGGAAGUGCAUUCGAAACUAUUUAGCUCGAGGAUGGCAGAGGAAGGUGGAAUUCCUAGUGUAGAGGUGAAAUUCGUAGAUAUUAGGAGGAAUACCGGUGGCGAAGGCGGCCUUCUGGACCAUUCCUGACACUGAGACGCGAAAGCGUGGGUAGCAAACAGGG